rnacentral:lncRNA from 1 species
AAUGACUGGUUUCACGUGUCCAUCCAUGUCUGAAUCAGCUGUUACUGUCCUUGUUGCAGUUUCUGUCCAUGGUGGUCUGAUAUCUCAAAGCUGAUCAAGUUCCUGGUGGGUCUCCUGUCUCAAGCAGUAGAGUGGGAGGAGCAGUCAGGAGAGAAGACACUGAAGCUGGUAUCAUCAGUGUGUACUUACAGAACCUUCCCUUUCUGUGACGGGGAUGAUGAGGAUGAGUGGUUUCAAUGUGAUCUCCUGCUGGAUCUGUACUCACAUGUGGAGGACUAUGAGACUAAAACAGGCAGGAGUGUCCUUCCAUCAUUGAGACCACUUUAUCAGUCAGCUCCUGCAGUCUGGUCCAUAGACCUCUCAGAGAGAAAGGCCUCCCUCCUCCUAGAAGUGCUGAAACUCCAACCAGAGAAGAAACCAGUACAGCUGAAAGGCUGGUCAGAUGAAGAGAGUGAAGUGAGGAGUUUCCUUCAGUGUCUGCCUUACAUCUCACAGCUGAGGUGAGUUGGAUCAGUACAGCUCAGGUGAGUUGGAUCAGUACAGCUCAGGUGAGUUGGAUCAGUACAGCUCAGGUGAGUUGGAUCAGUACAGCUCAGGUGAGUUGGAUCAGUACAGCUCAGGUGAGUUGGAUCAGUACAGCUCAGGUGAGUUGGAUCAGUACAGCUCAGGUGAGUUGGAUCAGUACAGCUCAGGGAUUGUUGUCUGUCCCUGUAUUUCACUUUUAAAAAGGAAGUUUGUUCGUAACAACCGAAUAUGCUAAACAUACACAUACUGUUUUGGAAAGAUACAAUCUUACUUUGUGGUGAUGAUUAUAAGGAACAGUUGAAGUGGAUGAUGAGUUUAGAAAGAUACAGUCUUACUUUGUGGUGAUGAUUAUAAGGAACAGUUGAAGUGGAUGAUGAGUUUAGAAAGAUAGUCAUGUUAUUUGACCUGCUAUAAUGUGACCAUCUGAAAUGCAGAUUAUAUCUCACAUAUUCAUCUAUUUGUUGUUAAACUGUUCAUGCAGUUUUACUCCACCACAGUAUCAGAGAAGAUCCCCUGAAGAGUGGAGAAAGAGAGAGAAGACAUUCCUACUGAAUCUGUGUCUUCAAGCAGCCCUCCAUGAGAGAGAAACCAUACAAACAACUGUAGGGAAAGUGUUGUCACUGUCUGAAGUUUAUCAGGGUCGGAAAUGGGAUCUCCUGCUGGAUCUGUACUCUCACGUGAAGGACUAUGAGACUAAAACAGGCAGGAGUGUCCUUCCAGCAUUACAGCCAGUUUACCAGUCAGCUCCUGCAGUCUGGUCCAUAGACCUCUCAGAGAGAAAGGCUUCCCUCCUCCUUGAAGUGCUGAAACUCCAACCAGAGAAGAAAUCAGUAGAGCUGUGGGACUGGUCAGAUGAAGAGAGUGAAGUGAGGAGUUUCCUUCAGUGUCUGCCCUACAUCUCACAGCUGAGUUUCUGUCCAUGGUGGUCUGAUAUCUCAAAGCUGAUCAAGUUCCUGGUGGGUCUCCUGUCUCAAGCAGUAGAGUGGGAGGAGCAGUCAGGAGAGAAGACACUGAAGCUGGUAUCAUCAGUGUGUACUUACAGAACCUUCCCUUUCUGUGACGGGGAUGAUGAGGAUGAGUGGUUUCAAUGUGAUCUCCUGCUGGAUCUGUACUCACAUGUGGAGGACUAUGAGACUAAAACAGGCAGGAGUGUCCUUCCAUCAUUGAGACCACUUUAUCAGUCAGCUCCUGCAGUCUGGUCCAUAGACCUCUCAGAGAGAAAGGCCUCCCUCCUCCUAGAAGUGCUGAAACUCCAACCAGAGAAGAAACCAGUACAGCUGAAAGGCUGGUCAGAUGAAGAGAGUGAAGUGAGGAGUUUCCUUCAGUGUCUGCCUUACAUCUCACAGCUGAGUUUUACUCCACCACAGUAUCAGAGAAGAUCCCCUGAAGAGUGGAGAAAGAGAGAGAAGACAUUCCUACUGAAUCUGUGUCUUCAAGCAGCCCUCCAUGAGAGAGAAACCAUACAAACAACUGUAGGGAAAGUGUUGUCACUGUCUGAAGUUUAUCAGGGUCGGAAAUGGGAUCUCCUGCUGGAUCUGUACUCUCACGUGAAGGACUAUGAGACUAAAACAGGCAGGAGUGUCCUUCCAGCAUUACAGCCACUUUACCAGCCAGCUCCUGCAGUCUGGUUCAUAGAUCUCAGAAAGAGAAACGUCUCCCUCCUCCUAGAAGUGCUGAAACUCCAACCAGAGAAGAAAUCAGUAGAGCUGUGGGACUGGUCAGAUGAAGAGAGUGAAGUGAGGAGUUUCCUUCAGUGUCUGCCCUACAUCUCACAGCUGAGUUUUACUCCACCACAGUAUCAGAGAAGAUCCCCUGAAGAGUGGAGAAAGAGAGAGAAGACAUUCCUACUGAAUCUGUGUCUUCAAGCAGCCCUCCAUGAGAGAGAAACCAUACAAACAACUGUAGGGAAAGUGUUGUCACUGUCUGAAGUUUAUCACAAUCAGAAAUGGGAGCUCCUGCUGGAUCUGUAUUCUCAUGUGAAGGACUAUGAGACUCAAACAGGCAGGAGUGUCCUUCCAGCAUUACAGCCAGUUUACCAGUCAGCUCCUGCAGUCUGGUCCAUAGACCUCAGAAAGAGAAUGGUCUCCCUCCUCCUAGAAGUGCUGAAACUCCAACCAGAGAAGAAACCAGUACAGCUGAAAGGCUGGUCAGAUGAAGAGAGUGAAGUGAGGAGUUUCCUUCAGUGUCUGCCCUACAUCUCACAGCUGAGUUUCUGUCCAUGGUGGUCUGAUCCCUCAAAGCUGAUCAAGUUCCUGGUGGGUCUCCUGUCUCAAGCAGCAGAGUGGGAGGAGCAGUCAGGAGAGAAGACACUGAAGCUGGUGUCAUCAGUGUGUACUUACAGAACCUUCCCUUUCUGUGACGAGGUUUAUUUUGAUGAGUCGUUUCAAUGGGAUCUCCUGCUGGAUCUGUAUUCACAUGUGAAGGACUAUGAGACUCAAACAGGCAGGAGUGUCCUUCCAGCAUUACAGCCAGUUUACCAGCCAGCUCCUGCAGUCUGGUUCAUAGAUCUCUCAGAGAGAAAGGUCUCCCUCCUCCUAGAAGUGCUGAAACUCCAACCAGAGAAGAAAUCAGUAGAGCUGAAAGGCUGGUCAGAUGAAGAGAGUGAAGUGAGGAGUUUCCUUCAGUGUCUGCCCUACAUCUCACAGCUGAGGUUUGCUCCACCACAGGAUCAGAUAGGAUCCCCUGAAGAGUGGAGAAAGAGAGAGAAGACAUUCCUACUGAAUCUGUGUCUUCAAGCAGCCCUCCAUGAGAGAGAAACCAUACAAACAACUGUAGAGAAAGUGUUGUCACUGUCUGAAGUUUAUCAGGGUCGGAAAUGGGAUCUCCUACUGGAUCUGUACUCUCAUGUGAAGGACUAUGAGACUCAAACAGGCAGGAGUGUCCUUCCAGCAUUACAGACAGUUUACCAGUCAGCUCCUGCAGUCUGGUCCAUAGACCUCAGAGAGAGAAAGGUCUCCCUCCUCCUAGAAGUGCUGAAACUCCAACCAGAGAAGAAAUCAGUAGAGCUGAAAGGCUGGUCAGAUGAAGAGAGUGAAGUGAGGUGUUUCCUUCAGUGUCUGCCCUACAUCUCACAGCUGAGUUUCUGUCCAUGGUGGUCUGAUAUCUCAAAGCUGAUCAAGUUCCUGGUGGGUCUCCUGUCUCAAGCAGCAGAGUGGGAGGAGCAGUCAGGAGAGAAGACACUGAAGCUGGUGUCAUCAGUGUGUAUUUACAGAACCUUCCCUUUCUGUGACGGGGAUGAUUUUGAUGAGUCGUUUCAAUGUGAUUUCCUGCUGGAUCUGUAUUCACAUGUGAAGGACUAUGAGACUCAAACAGGCAGGAGUGUCCUUCCAACAUUACAGACAGUUUACCAGUCAGCUCCUGCAGUCUGGUCCAUAGACCUCUCAGAGAGAAAGGCCUCCCUCCUCCUAGAAGUGCUGAAACUCCAACCAGAGAAGAAACCAGUAGAGCUGAAAGGCUGGUCAGAUGAAGAGAGUGAAGUGAGGAGUUUCCUUCAGUGUCUGCCCUACAUCUCACAGCUGAGCUGUGAUUCUGACAGGUUCUUCCAGCGUGUGUGUGAAUCCAUCCCUGUGAGGUCCAGAGAGGAUGCCCAGCAGUUGGCCUCUCUCCUCCAGGCCUUGGGCUCCACCCUGUCACUGGGAGGACAGUUACCCAGGAAAACCUGCAGGUCUGUGGUGAGAGUGCUUGGCCUCUGUGCCUCCAGAGUGGACCUCACUCUCACCCCCAGCAAGAUCUCUCUGAAAGGAGCCUCACUUCUCUUCACACAUGUAUCACAGCUACACAAGCUCAGGCUGAAUGUGGGCAUGGCAGUGAGACUGGCCAGACUGGCUAGGAGGACAGGGAGAGGGGGUUCUCCACUGACUGUCCCAGAGCUCUCCCUGGUCCUAAAGAGCAGCCAGCCACCAGAGAAAGUGUUAUCCAGGGCUCUGAGUAGUGUGGCGUCCCUGCUGAGACUCUGGACGGUGCAGUGUCUGGACCUGACUGACUUCUGCAUCCAGGGUCACUCUCUCAUCACACUACUUUGUCACCAAGGCCCUCUCACUCUCAGACUGCACUCAGACACCCUGCAGCAGCUGGCUGUAGUUGUGUAUGAAGCUCAGGACAAGGACUUGACUCGGUGGUUCCUGGAGAAGGUUGGUGGAGACCUGACCUCCUGUAGGCUGGACUGGGAGGUGCUUCUCUCUCUGCUGCAGCAUUCAACCCACAACAUCACAGUGGACCUCAGGAAGAACAGGCUUCUAGAGAAGAACAUCUCAGAUCUUUUCCCCUUUCUGGGAAGGGUUAUAUUCAAGAGGCUCAGUUCCAGCUUUGUGAAGUCCACCAUCAGACAGAUCUAUGACAGUAGAGCCAGUGACUGUGUGUCCAGUUUGUUGAGGUCUUCAGACCAUUGGAUCAACCUGAACAGCAGAGAGCUGGACAGAGUGGACUGUACUGCGCUGUGUUUCACCCUGCAGCACAGCCACCAAGUCAAAGUCAACCUGCUGUGGACCUCCAUACCACCGGGGGAGAUAGAGAGCAUCCUGCCUCUUCUGGACAGAGUCUCCCAACUCAGUGUUGACAGGAUGCUGUUGCUGAGUUUCCUCCACUCCUGCGCUGCCUCUCAGAUCCUGCAGGGGGCACUAUCACCACCUUCAGCAAUAACAACAGCAGCAGCAGAGCUGCUCAGGGCUCUGCAGCACAGGUUGGACUUCUCCUGCUCCUCCUCUGUGGACCUGUCGGCUCACGACCAGGGGGAGGCGCUGUGUCUGACCACUGACCACUGUAGGGCCAUAAACUCUGUUCUGAAGCAGAGCCAGCACAGCACACAGCUGGUUCAGAACCCGACCCAGAACCAGUCCCGAAACCAGCCCCAGGUGCAGCUCAUCCUUAAAGACUGUGAGGUGGAGCACGGAGCACUGAGAGAGCUGCUUCCCAUCCUGCAUAUUGUCAAGCUGAGCCCCAGCAAAGCUCUGCUACUUCAGCUGGUGGACCAUGUGUGUGAGGGGAUUGAAGAGGGAGUGCUGAGGAACGCAGUAUCCCUGUGCAGAGCCCUGGAUGGGGAGCUGGACCUCAGUGAGACCAGGCUGAACCAAAAGGCCUGUGGAUCUCUGGCCCUGGUUCUGGAACACUCAGAGGGGCUGUCAGAACUGGACCUCAGCCACUGCCAACUCACAGACCGCCAUCUACAGCCCCUGCUCACACACCUGCACAAAGUUGAAGUCCUUGACCUGAGUCACAAUGACAUCACUGAUGCUCUGACCGACAGAAUUCUCCAACUGGUCUCCACCAACACUUCAAUCCGCACCGUACGGCUCUUCAGCAACAGAAUCAAGGACAGAAGUCCGUUCCUGACAGACAAGAGGUUUGACAUCUGGUGA